rnacentral:lncRNA from 1 species
CGGUACAGUGGUGCACGCUCGAUGAUGGUUUCUUACCCUUACUCUUUUGUGGUUAUCAUUGCAUAUAUAUAUUGAGCCUUGCAUACACUCUACUCAGAUGUUUCCAUACUUAGUAUCAUGUGUAGGGGUAGAGUAGUUUAUUUAUAUGUGAUACAUGUGACCUGGUUGGUCGAUUCUCGUACUUCGUAUCGAUUCUCGUACUUCGUAUCAGUGACCUGGUUGAUCGUUUUUCGUACUUCGAAUCAGUGACUUGGUUGGUCGGUUCAUGUAUGUCGUAACUAUAACCCAUUCGAUCGGUUCUUUGGCAUGCAUGUGAUCUAGUCAGUCAGUUCGUGACUCUUGUCGUUUGAUGACCUAUGAGGUCGGUGUACCCUGAGGGGUAGGAUUGUCGAUUAGUGGCUGACGGUAGUUCUGGAUUAGAUUGAUACACUCUUGUGACCUAUUGGUCGGUUCUUGCAUUUACACUUUAGUUGACCCAUCGAGCAGUAUUUGCAUACUUUUGAGAGGAUGUUGAGUCGUUCCAUCCUAGUUGACCUGAGUGGUCAGUUCUUGUGCUUCCUUACAAUCGAUGACCUAUUGGUCGGUUUGCCCCGAGGGG